GCAUUUUAAGCAGCACAUAUACUAAAAUUGGAAUGAUACAGAGAAGAUUAGCAUGGCCCUUACCCAAGGAUGAAA
rnacentral:snRNA from 1 species